rnacentral:hammerhead_ribozyme from 1 species
AUUCAGCUGACGAGUCCCAGGUAGGACAAAAUACGCAUCCUAGAU